GCGUGGGCAUUAAUUGUGGAAUUAAUGACAGGGGCACGUGGCUGGGUAAACGAAGUGGCACCCACUUCACCAAAGCCAACGACAUCAUUGAAACCAUUAAGUGAAGUCCCUUCGUCUGAGUUGGUGAGAGGUGAAGCGAGCUCCAUGGAUGUAUCAGUUCGAAACUGAUCUGGAAGAGGUGGAAGCAGACGAAAAUGGUGAAGAGGAUCCUCUCCUUUGUACGGUCGGAGCAAAGAAACAUGAAACACUGGGUGAAUGCCAGCGGUUUCGGGCAACAGCAAUUCAUAGGCCACCAAGCGAUGCGACGGUGAACGCGGAAGGGCCCGUAGUAGCACUUGGCCAGUUUCUGUGACGUGCGGCGCAACAACGACGUUUGCCUGUACGAUUGAAGCUUCAACAAUACCUAAUCGCCCGGCUGAAAGGAGAAGUUGAACAGUUGUGGAAGACGGGCUUUGUAAAACAUCAACAGGGGUAGGCGGGGCACAUCCAUACAAGGCGUGAAAGGGAGUGGUACCGAUGCUGGUGUGGAAAGAGGUAUUAUGCCAAUACUCCGCGAGGUGAAGAUAUUGAUACCAUGCACGGGGAUGAUCACUAACAAAACAACGGAGAUAGGCUUCUAAACAGCGAUUCCAGACCUCAGAUUGACCGUCUGAUUGGGGGUGAUAAGCCGAGCUAAAGGCCAAAGUGGUGCCUUGAGCGCGAAAGAGUUCACGCCAAAAAGAACUCACAAACAAGGGAUCCUAAUUGGAAACAAUGGAUUUCGGGCAGCCAUGAAGUUUGAAGAUUUCCACCAUAAACUGACGAGCUAGCUGAGGGACAGUGAACUUGGCAGGGAGAGCAAGAAAAUGUGCAAACUUGGUUAGACGGUCACAGAUAACCCAGAAUGUGGAAUGACUAAAUGAUUUAGGUAUUUAUCAUGUUGACAUUCAUGGCACGCACGAAUGAACUUGCGAGCAUUAGAGUAAAGACCAGGCCAAUAAAAAGCGGCAACAAUGCAACAGACCGUGGGUUUUAAACCAGAAUGACCCGCAACCGGGGUGCAAUGGAAUUCUUUUAUCAGUUGAAGGAAAAAAUCAUGAAUAUCUGGAACAAAAAGCCUGGUUUUGAAGUACAACAACCCAUUGUGGAAGGUAAACAAUUCGUGCUCUUGAUUUUGUUGAUGUAGUUGAGUAACUAAUGCCUGACCAUCUGUCUUAAAAUAUUCCUGCCAAGGGUGAAGAAAUGUAGGAACGAGGGAGGAAAUGUGGAACAAGACAGAAGGCUUUGGUUCCGGUCUUGAUAACGAAUCAGCCACGAUAAUCUGGUUGCCUGGCCUGUAAAGAAUAUCAAAAUGGUAGCCCAAGAACUUAAUGGCCCAUUUCUACUGCUCGGGAGUGUGCACCGCUUGGCAAGCAUUUCGUGCACAUAGACGGACGCAGCCUGUAGCCUUGGACAAAGACCUUUGUUGAAAAAGGCUAUCGGAUGACCAUGUUGGGAUAAAAUGGACCCUAUUGUUAGAAACAUCAGUUUCAAUAACGAAUGGAGAAUUGAUGUCUGAGAGAGCCAGAACAGGAACUGAUGUAAUUUUAUUUUUGAGGUCUGUGAAUGCUUGUUGUGCUUGUACACACCAUUGAAAAGUAGUGGAGCGUAACAAAUCGGUGAGGGGAGUGGUGAUUGACACGUAAUUAUGCACGAAUUUGCAGUAAACCUCGUUGAACCCGCGUAGAGCCGUGAGUGAACGCGGAAGAGGCCAGGCCACAAUGGCUUGAAUCUUCUCUGGGUCAGGUGAUGAUUCUUAUUCUAUAGAUUCUCGUGAUUUGAAGACAAAUCUUUUUCAAGAGGGAGUGAAUGAUGGAAUCAUGCCUAGGAAGGUAAGGGGUGACAUAUUGAGAGAGCCAAGAGGAAUGGGCUAGACAUGAAGGUUUGGGUUUUGACUGGUCCAAUGGGUCUAAUGGGCUUGGAAAGCCCAAGUUGAGCUUCUCAUGGGCCAUAUCUUGUUUUAGCUAUUCUUCUUAUGUCUUGUGUAUAUCAUAUUAGUAUAGGUUUUCUAUAUUUUGGGUCUUGUAUUUUGGACCAACUAGAAUAGUAUUUUAGGCUAUAGGCUUAUUGGGCCUAGUUUUGGGCUUCAUGGGCCUUUGGGCUUUUGGUACCCAAUAUUGGGCUCAUUUUCAUUCUUGUAACUUUUACUUUCCAUUGUAUUUGCUUGGCUAAAUUAGAAUUAUUGAGGGAUUACUUAAAUA